rnacentral:rRNA from 1 species
GAUGAACGCUGACAGAACGCUUAACGCAUGCAAGUCAACUUGAAUUUGGGUUUUUAACUUAGAUUUGGGUGGCGGACGGGUGAGUAACGCGUAAAGAACUUGCCUCACAGCUAGGGACAACAUUUAGAAAUGAAUGCUAAUACCUGAUAUUAUGAUUUUAAGGCAUCUUAGAAUUAUGAAAGCUAUAAGCACUGUGAGAGAGCUUUGCGUCCCAUUAGCUAGUUGGAGAGGUAACAGCUCACCAAGGCGAUGAUGGGUAGCCGGCCUGAGAGGGUGAACGGCCACAAGGGGACUGAGACACGGCCCUUACUCCUACGGGAGGCAGCAGUGGGGAAUAUUGGACAAUGGACCGAGAGUCUGAUCCAGCAAUUCUGUGUGCACGAUGAAGUUUUUCGGAAUGUAAAGUGCUUUCAGUUGGGAAGAAAGAAAUGACGGUACCAACAGAAGAAGUGACGGCUAAAUACGUGCCAGCAGCCGCGGUAAUACGUAUGUCACGAGCGUUAUCCGGAUUUAUUGGGCGUAAAGCGCGUCUAGGUGGUUAUGUAAGUCUGAUGUGAAAAUGCAGGGCUCAACUCUGUAUUGCGUUGGAAACUGUGUAACUAGAGUACUGGAGAGGUAAGCGGAACUACAAGUGUAGAGGUGAAAUUCGUAGAUAUUUGUAGGAAUGCCGAUGGGGAAGCCAGCUUACUGGACAGAUACUGACGCUAAAGCGCGAAAGCGUGGGUAGCAAACAGG